rnacentral:rRNA from 1 species
UACGUAGGGUGCAAGCGUUGUCCGGAAUUAUUGGGCGUAAAGAGCUCGUAGGCGGUCUGUCGCGUCUGCUGUGAAACUCAGGCUUAACCCUGAGCUGCAGUGGGUACGGGCAGACUAGAGUGCGGUAGGGGAGACUGGAAUUCAUGGUGUAGCAGGUGAAAUGCGUAGAUAUCGAGAGGAACACCAGUGGCGAAGGCGAGUCCCCUGG